AAUUGCUAGUAAUGGCAGGUCAGCAUACUGCCGUGAAUACGUUCCCGGGCCUUGUACACACCGCCCGUCACACCAUGAGAGUUGGGAUACCCGAAGCCUGUGAGCUAACAGUAAUGAAGCAGCAGUCGAAGGUAGAAUCAAUGAUUGGGGUGAAGUCGUAACAAGGUAAC
rnacentral:rRNA from 1 species